rnacentral:rRNA from 1 species
CCCUUCUCUCGUUGCCUUUGUGCAAGCCUUGGGGGAUGUUAACCCUUCUCUCGCUUCUUCAAGACUAUGUUUUCAUAUACACUAUAAAGUUACAGAAUGUCUUUUAACGACUGUUCGCAGUCAUUAAACCUAUACAACUUUCAGCAACGGAUCUCUUGGCUCUCCUAUCGAUGAAGAACGCAGCGAAAUGCGAUAAGUAAUGUGAAUUGCAGAAUUCAGUGAAUCAUCGAAUCUUUGAACGCACCUUGCGCCCUUUGGUAUUCCGAAGGGCAUGCCUGUUUGAGUGUCAUUAAAUUAUCAACCUUGCUCGCUUUUACUAGCUUGAGUUAGGCUUGGAUGUGAGGGUUUUGCUGGCUUUCGUGGUCUGCUCCCUUUAAAUGCAUUAGUGGGAUCUAUUGUGGACCGUCACUUGGUGUGAUAAUUAUCUAUGCCUUGGGACUUUGAAACAAACUUAUUAGAACCUGCUUAUAACCGUCCUUAUGGACAACUUAUUGACAAUUUGACCUCAAAUCNNGUAGGACUACCCGCUGAACUUAAGCAUAUCAAUAAGCGGAGGA